CUCUCGCAUCGAUGAAGAACGCAGCGAAAUGCGAUAAGUAAUGUGAAUGNCAGAAUUCAGUGAAUCAUCGAAUCUUUGAACGCACCUUGCGCUCCUUGGUAUUCCGAGGAGCAUGCCUGUUUGAGUGUCAUUUAAUUCUCAACCCCUCUAGCUUUUGUGGCUGGUUUGGGGCUUGGAUGUGGGGGAUUGCGGGCCUCUAUAGAGGUCGGCUCCUCUGAAAUGCAUUAGCGGAACCGUUUGCGGGUCUGUCACUGGUGUGAUAAUUAUCCUACCAUCGACGACUGCUCUCUGGCAAUUCUGCUUCUAACUGUCCUCAUUGUGGGACAACAAUAUAUUAAUGCUUGACCUUAAAUCAGGUAGGACUACCCGCUGAACUUAAGCAUAUCAAUAAGCGGAGGAAAAGAAACUAACAAGGAUUCCCCUAGUAACUGCGAGUGAAGCGGGAAAAGCUCAAAUUUAAAAUCUGGCGGUCUUUGGCCGUCCGAGUUGUAAUCUAGAGAAGCGUCUUCCGCGC
rnacentral:rRNA from 1 species